rnacentral:rRNA from 1 species
CCUACGGGAGGCAGCAGUGAGGAAUAUUGGUCAAUGGACGAGAGUCUGAACCAGCCAAGUAGCGUGAAGGAUGACUGCCCUAUGGGUUGUAAACUUCUUUUAUAUGGGAAUAAAAUGUUCCACGUGUGGGCUUUUGUAUGUACCUUAUGAAUAAGGAUCGGCUAAAUCCGUGCCAGCAGCCGCGGUAAUACGGAGGAUCCGAGCGUUAUCCGGAUUUAUUGGGUUUAAAGGGAGCGUAGGGGGGUUGUUAAGUCAGUUGUGAAAGUGUGCGGCUCAACCGUAAAAUUGCAGUUGAAACUGGCAGUCUAGAGUACAGGAGAGGUGGGCGGAAUUCGUGGUGUAGCGGUGAAAUGCGUAGAUAUCACGAAGAACUCCGAUGGCGAAGGCAGUUCACUGGACUGCAACUGACGCUGAGGCACGAAAGUGUGGGUAUCAAACAGGAUUAGAUACCCGAGUAGUC